UGAUUUCUAUGUUGUGACUAAAAGGUCCGUGACUAAAAGUAUUAGUCACAAAAAUUACAAUUUGUUGUGACUAAAUGUAUUUUUAGUCACAAUACUUGUUAUGACUAAAAUUAAAUUAGUGACAACUUGUAACUAAAUACUAUGUUUUAGUUACAAGUAACAUUUUGUUGUGACUAAAAGUCACAUUUAGUCACAAAAAAAUUAUGUUGUGACUAAAAAAUUGUCACUAAAAGUAACAAUUUUUUAUAGUUAGGUCCUUUAAAAGUUUCAUACCAUUUUCAUUGUCAUUUGGAUCGGAGAUGAGGAUCAUUUUUGUUAUUUUCUCUGCAUACUAUACUUGCUGGAAGAUUUCUUGUUAGGAGCACAUUAUCUUGAUCUUAGCUACUGUAUUGAAAUCUUUAUGUUGAAAUGUUUGCUGCUAUUGCUGCCAUAUCAAACAGAACAAGUUGCAGAAGAGGACUUACAUCAUCGGGCAAGUUACAAAGUAUUGAAGAAAUACUAAAAAGCUAAAAGGCUUAUAUGGAUAAAUGUUAUUGCUAAAAAGAUGGUGAUGUUGAGGGAUCAUCUAGUUAUUUCUUUAGAGAUAUGAAAAAGAGAUUAUAUCCAUUUAUUUAGAAUUAUUUUUUGUAUGUACAUUAAUUAUGUUAAUAAAAUAAUUAUAAAUUUGCCUGCUUUA